CCUUGUGUGGCCGCCCCCGCUUGGUUCCAGGAGCCGCCCGCCAGGACAUCUUCUCGCCCCUGCUGGAAAGCAGCCCUCCGCCUCCGCGGUUCUCGGCGGGAAUCUCUGUCUAGACCAGAAUUUCUGCCCUUCACCUGUCUCCGCAUAAAUCAGAUCGCUCUGAUGUCCUUUUGCAGAGGCUCCCUGGUCCUCAAACGACAGAGCUCCGCGACUUCAGCUCGUGUCGCUUCUCCCCAGCCUGAGCCGCAGCCCCUAUCUUGUGGCCUCCACAAAUCAUUGUCCAGCCUGCUCCACCGGGGAAAGGAUCUCUUGUUUUGUUCGCUGCUAUCCCAAACGCCUGCUACAGGGACCGGCACACAUAAGGCGCUUAAUUUGUUGAAUGAAUGGGAAUUGGGUAAUGCCAAUGUUUGAAGAGGAAUCUUAAAUGCAGCUGACCGUCUGGUGUACUCGCCGAAGCUCAUUUCCCUCCCCUCCCCCCCCUCCAUCCUUCCCAAGCAGGUGUGGGUCCUGGAGGGUAAAGUCCAC